rnacentral:rRNA from 1 species
AGAACGAACGCUGGCGGCAGGCCUCAAACAUGCAAGUCUAGGGGGUGUAGCAAUACAUCACCGGCGGACGGGUGCGUAACACGUGGGAAUAUACCUUUUGGUUCGGAACAACGCAGGGAAACUUGCGCUAAUACCGAAUGUGUCCUUACGGAGAAAGAUUUAUCGCCAAAGGAUUAGCCCGCGUCCGAUUAGCUAGUUGGUGAGGUAAUGGCUCACCAAGGCUCCGAUCGGUAGCUGUUCUGAGAGGAAGAUCAGCCACACUGGGACUGAGACACGGCCCAGACUCCUACGGGAGGCAGCAGUUGGGAAUCUUGGACAAUGGGGGAAACCCUGAUCCAGCCAUGCCGCGUGAGUGAUGAAGGCCUUCGGGUUGUAAAACUCUUUCGACGGGGACGAUAAUGACGGUACCCGUAGAAGAAGCUCCGGCUAACUUCGUGCCAGCAGCCGC